CGAUGUUUCAUUCAAAUUUCUGCCCUAUCAACUUUCGAUGGUAGGAUACGAAGGCCUACCAUGGUUUUAACGGGUAACGGGGAAUUACGGGUUCGAUUCCGGAGAGGGAGCCUGAGAAACGGCUACCACAUCCAAGGAAGGCAGCAGGCGCGCAAAUUACCCAAUCCCGAUACGGGGAGGUAGUGACAAUAACAUAACAAUACAGGGCUUUCUAGUCUUGUAAUUGGAAUGAGUACAAUUUAAAUCCCUUAACGAGGAACAAUUGGAGGGCAAGUCUGGUGCCAGCAGCCGGGUAAAUUCCAGUCCAAUAGCGUAUAUUAAAGUUGUUGCAGUUAAAAAAGCUCGUAGUGAAUUUAAGGCCUGGUUGGACGGUCUGCUUUGGAUUGUACUGUCCUGACUGGGUCUUACCUUCUGGUGAGACUGUCGAGGUAGAAACUCAGUGCAGGACAGGGAAACCAGGACUUUUACCUUUGAAAACAUUAGAGUGUUAAAAAGCAGGCAUUCGGUUGAAUACCUUAGCAUGGAACUCAAUCAGAAUAGG
rnacentral:rRNA from 1 species